UUUUUUCCCCUCUGCCUUUUUCCUCUCAGUUCCGUUCUGCAGUACCCACCUGUAUUUGUUACCAAAGGUAGUGGGGCUGUGCACUAUUUCCCCCCCCGUCCAAUAGCAACGUGGCUUGAUGUGUCACUCAGUCCUAGAUGUAUGAUUGGCCCACUCUCAAACAGCUGACCCCCCACAGAGCAGAGCUUUGUUAAACCCCCUCCCCCUCAACUAAACACUUCUUCAACUGAACUCUCUCUCUCUCUAUUUGGAUCUGUCUCUCUGUCUCUGUCUCUCUGUCUCUCUGUCUCUACAUCCAGGUGUCUGUCCCUGUGAUCUCUGUAUUCAACAACACAUGGUGGUCAGACAGUAUUUAUCAUGUAGGACCUGAUUUUGGCCAGGAUUCAAUCCCACAAUGCAAUGUUCACGAUAAACGCUGCACGUGUCGGCUUAUUCUGAAAUGACCUUUUUAUUUUAAAUGUCUAAAAGCAGUGAUGGUUUUGAACCCUAAAUAGAACCAGGUUCUGUCUGGAACUAGAGGCUGGUCUCUGAGCGUUGGGUAAAAACUGGAAUGGAUUCAGUCCUCAUCUCAUUAAUAUUGUAUCACAGGAAACGUUCCAAUGUAACCUAGAGGAAAUGAUGUCAUCCUCUAGCUGGGAGCUCAUUGGUGGAUAUUUUGAUCUCCCAGACAGGAAAUAACCUGUUAUGUUGUUUUCGUGAAGGAAGUGUGUGUGUGUGUCCUACAGCUGUCCAGAGCUCUGAUCUGGUGGGACGUUAACCUCUGACUGGAAGAAUUUCUUUAAUUUUCUCUCUAAGGCACAGCUAUUAUCAUGGAGAAUGAUCUGUUGAUACAAACACCAUCUCUCACAUGACUUCCUGGUCUCACACUCCUCCUCACAACUGGAAUCUGGUGCUUAAUCUCAUAAUUCUCAUGUAAAUGUGACCCACUGUGAUCUAGCCAGCGGUCAACGAUGUGGUGUAGUGGAUGGAUGGAAAGGUGUGUGUGUGUGUGUGUGUGACUGUUGGUUCACACAGGUGGGAGGUUAGACCGCCAUUGUAGUUCUGAUAAUGCCUGUGUCUAACUCAGUGUUUCUGGGUAAUUUACUAAAUGUAACUAUAUAUAAAAAUAUUCCAAACCUUUUUUACUUUGAAACUGGAACUUUCCUUUUUUAUUUUUUUGGUGAUUAAUCUGUUGUGCCAUUGGUUCACCUGGAUGCCAACAACCAAUAAAAAUGGGGAUUUU
ensembl:lncRNA